rnacentral:rRNA from 1 species
ACGGACUUGCGGCGGACUACACAUGCAGUCGAGCGGAUGAAGGGAGCUUGCUCCUGGAUUCAGCGGCGGACGGGUGAGUAAUGCCUAGGAAUCUGCCUGGUAGUGGGGGAUAACGUCCGGAAACGGGCGCUAAUACCGCAUACGUCCUGAGGGAGAAAGUGGGGGAUCUUCGGACCUCACGCUAUCAGAUGAGCCUAGGUCGGAUUAGCUAGUUGGUGGGGUAAAGGCCUACCAAGGCGACGAUCCGUAACUGGUCUGAGAGGAUGAUCAGUCACACUGGAACUGAGACACGGUCCAGACUCCUACGGGAGGCAGCAGUGGGGAAUAUUGGACAAUGGGCGAAAGCCUGAUCCAGCCAUGCCGCGUGUGUGAAGAAGGUCUUCGGAUUGUAAAGCACUUUAAGUUGGGAGGAAGGGCAGUAAGUUAAUACCUUGCUGUUUUGACGUUACCAACAGAAUAAGCACCGGCUAACUUCGUGCCAGCAGCCGCGGUAAUACGAAGGGUGCAAGCGUUAAUCGGAAUUACUGGGCGUAAAGCGCGCGUAGGUGGUUCAGCAAGUUGGAUGUGAAAUCCCCGGGCUCAACCUGGGAACUGCAUCCAAAACUACUGAGCUAGAGUACGGUAGAGGGUGGUGGAAUUUCCUGUGUAGCGGUGAAAUGCGUAGAUAUAGGAAGGAACACCAGUGGCGAAGGCGACCACCUGGACUGAUACUGACACUGAGGUGCGAAAGCGUGGGGAGCAAACAGGAUUAGAUACCCUGGUAGUCCACGCCGUAAACGAUGUCGACUAGCCGUUGGGAUCCUUGAGAUCUUAGUGGCGCAGCUAACGCGAUAAGUCGACCGCCUGGGGAGUACGGCCGCAAGGUUAAAACUCAAAUGAAUUGACGGGGGCCCGCACAAGCGGUGGGAGCAUGUGGUUUUAAUUCGAAGCAACGCGGAAGAACCUUACCUGGGCC